UGGUGAAUUACUCCAUCAGGAAUCUA
rnacentral:piRNA from 1 species